rnacentral:rRNA from 1 species
UGCCAGACUCCUACGGGAGGCAGCAGUGGGGAAUAUUGGGCAAUGGAGGAAACUCUUACCCAGCAAUGCCGCGUGAAUGAAGAAGGUCUUCGGAUUGUAAAGUUCUUUAAUUGGGGACGAAAAAAAUGACGGUACCCAAGGAAUAAGCCCCGGCUAACUACGUGCCAGCAGCCGCGGUAAUACGUAGGGGGCAAGCGUUGUUCGGAAUGACUGGGCGUAAAGGGUGCGUAGACGGCAGGGCAAGUCUGGAGUGAAAGGCAGGGGCCCAACCCCUGGACUGCUCUGGAAACUGUCCGGCUGGAGUGCAGGAGAGGUAAGUGGAAUUCCUAGUGUAGUGGUGAAAUGCGUAGAUAUUAGGAGGAACACCAGUGGCGAAGGCGGCUUACUGGACUGUAACUGACGUUGAGGCUCGAAAGCGUGGGGAGCAAACAGGAUUAGAUACCCCGGUAU